GGGUUGUGAGGUUAAGCGACUAAGCGUACACGGUGGAUGCCCUGGCAGUCAGAGGCGAUGAAGGACGUGCUAAUCUGCGAAAAGCGUCGGUAAGGUGAUAUGAACCGUUACAGCCGGCGAUGUCCGAAUGGGGAAACCCAGUGCAAUUCGUUGCACUAUCGUUAACUGAAUACAUAGGUUAACGAGGCGAACCGGGGGAACUGAAACAUCUAAGUACCCCGAGGAAAAGAAAUCAACCGAGAUUCCCCCAGUAGCGGCGAGCGAACGGGGAGCAGCCCAGAGUCUGAAUCAGCUUGUGUGUUAGUGGAACGGUCUGGAAAGUCCGACGGUACAGGGUGAUAGUCCCGUACACCAAAAUGCACAGGUUGUGAACUCGAAGAGUAGGGCGGGACACGUGGUAUCCUGUCUGAAUAUGGGGGGACCAUCCUCCAAGGCUAAAUACUCCUGACUGACCGAUAGUGAACCAGUACCGUGAGGGAAAGGCGAAAAGAACCCCGGCGAGGGGAGUGAAAAAGAACCUGAAACCGUGUACGUACAAGCAGUGGGAGCACCUUCGGGUGUGACUGCGUACCUUUUGUAUAAUGGGUCAGCGACUUAUAUUCUGUAGCAAGGUUAACCGUAUAGGGGAGCCGCAGGGAAACCGAGUCUUAACUGGGCGUUAAGUUGCAGGGUAUAGACCCGAAACCCGGUGAUCUAGCCAUGGGCAGGUUGAAGGUUGGGUAACACUAACUGGAGGACCGAACCGACUAAUGUUGAAAAAUUAGCGGAUGACUUGUGGCUGGGGGUGAAAGGCCAAUCAAACCGGGAGAUAGCUGGUUCUCCCCGAAAGCUAUUUAGGUAGCGCCUCGUGAAUUCAUCUUCGGGGGUAGAGCACUGUUUCGGCUAGGGGGUCAUCCCGACUUACCAACCCGAUGCAAACUACGAAUACCGAAGAAUGUUAUCACGGGAGACACACGGCGGGUGCUAACGUCCGUCGUGAAGAGGGAAACAACCCAGACCGCCAGCUAAGGUCCCAAAGUCACAGUUAAGUGGGAAACGAUGUGGGAAGGCACAGACAGCCAGGAUGUUGGCUUAGAAGCAGCCAUCAUUUAAAGAAAGCGUAAUAGCUCACUGGUCGAGUCGGCCUGCGCGGAAGAUGUAACGGGGCUAAACUGUGCACCGAAGCUGCGGCAGCGACACUAUGUGUUGUUGGGUAGGGGAGCGUUCUGUAAGCCUGCGAAGGUGGCCUGUGAGGGUUGCUGGAGGUAUCAGAAGUGCGAAUGCUGACAUAAGUAACGAUAAUGCGGGUGAAAAGCCCGCACGCCGGAAGACCAAGGGUUCCUGUCCAACGUUAAUCGGGGCAGGGUGAGUCGACCCCUAAGGCGAGGCCGAAAGGCGUAGUCGAUGGGAAACAGGUUAAUAUUCCUGUACUUGGUGUUACUGCGAAGGGGGGACGGAGAAGGCUAUGUUAGCCGGGCGACGGUUGUCCCGGUUUAAGCAUGUAGGCGGAGGUUCCAGGUAAAUCCGGUACCUUUUAACGCUGAGGUGUGAUGACGAGGCACUACGGUGCUGAAGUAACAAAUGCCCUGCUUCCAGGAAAAGCCUCUAAGCAUCAGGUAACAUUGAAUCGUACCCCAAACCGACACAGGUGGUCAGGUAGAGAAUACCAAGGCGCUUGAGAGAACUCGGGUGAAGGAACUAGGCAAAAUGGUGCCGUAACUUCGGGAGAAGGCACGCUGAUAUGUAGGUGAAGUCCCUGCGGAUGGAGCUGAAAUCAGUCGAAGAUACCAGCUGGCUGCAACUGUUUAUUAAAAACACAGCACUGUGCAAACACGAAAGUGGACGUAUACGGUGUGACGCCUGCCCGGUGCCGGAAGGUUAAUUGAUGGGGUUAUCCGUAAGGAGAGGCUCUUGAUCGAAGCCCCGGUAAACGGCGGCCGUAACUAUAACGGUCCUAAGGUAGCGAAAUUCCUUGUCGGGUAAGUUCCGACCUGCACGAAUGGCGUAAUGAUGGCCAGGCUGUCUCCACCCGAGACUCAGUGAAAUUGAACUCGCUGUGAAGAUGCAGUGUACCCGCGGCAAGACGGAAAGACCCCGUGAACCUUUACUAUAGCUUGACACUGAACAUUGAGCCUUGAUGUGUAGGAUAGGUGGGAGGCUUUGAAGCGUGGACGCCAGUCUGCGUGGAGCCAACCUUGAAAUACCACCCUUUAAUGUUUGAUGUUCUAACGUUGGCCCCUAAUCGGGGUUGCGGACAGUGUCUGGUGGGUAGUUUGACUGGGGCGGUCUCCUCCCAAAGAGUAACGGAGGAGCACGAAGGUUAGCUAAUCCUGGUCGGACAUCAGGAGGUUAGUGCAAUGGCAUAAGCUAGCUUGACUGCGAGCGUGACGGCGCGAGCAGGUGCGAAAGCAGGUCAUAGUGAUCCGGUGGUUCUGAAUGGAAGGGCCAUCGCUCAACGGAUAAAAGGUACUCCGGGGAUAACAGGCUGAUACCGCCCAAGAGUUCAUAUCGACGGCGGUGUUUGGCACCUCGAUGUCGGCUCAUCACAUCCUGGGGCUGAAGUAGGUCCCAAGGGUAUGGCUGUUCGCCAUUUAAAGUGGUACGCGAGCUGGGUUUAGAACGUCGUGAGACAGUUCGGUCCCUAUCUGCCGUGGGCGCUGGAGAAUUGAGGGGGGCUGCUCCUAGUACGAGAGGACCGGAGUGGACGCAUCACUGGUGUUCGGGUUGUCAUGCCAAUGGCAUUGCCCGGUAGCUAAAUGCGGAAGAGAUAAGUGCUGAAAGCAUCUAAGCACGAAACUUGCCCCGAGAUGAGUUCUCCCUGAGACUUUAAGUCUCCUGAAGGAACGUUAAAGACGAUGACGUUGAUAGGUCGGGUGUGUAAGCGUAGCGAUACGUUGAGCUAACCGAUACUAAUGAACCGUGAGGCUUAACCUUACAACGCCGAAGGUGUUU
rnacentral:rRNA from 1 species